rnacentral:rRNA from 1 species
UACGGAGGUGGCAAGCGUUACUCGGAAUCACUGGGUGUAAAGGGUCCGUAGGCGGCGAUGCAAGUGAGAGGUGAAAUCCUUCGGCUCAACCGGAGAAUUGCCUCUUAUACUGCAUUGCUGGAGGAUAUGAGAGGAGAGUGGAACUGCACGUGUAAAGGUGAAAUUUGUGGAUAUGUGCAGGAACGCCAAUGGUGAAGACAACUCUCUGGCAUAUUUCUGACGCUAAGGGACGAAAGCGUGGGGAGCAAACAGG